GUUGUUAUGGGGUGGCUGUAGUUACGGGGUUGUUGUUAUGGGGUUGUUGUGGGGUUGUGGUUAUGGGGUGGCUGUAGUUACAGGGUUGUUGUGGGGUUGCUGUAGUUAUGGGGUUGUUGUGGGGUUGUAGUUACGGGGUUGUUAUGGGGUGGCUGUAGUUAUGGGGUGGUUGUGGGGUGGCUGUAGUUGUGGGGUGGCUGUAGUUAUGGGGUGGCUGUAGUUGUGGGGUGGCUGUAGUUGUGGGGUUGGUUGUAGUUACGGGGUUGUUGUUAUGGGGCUGUAGUUGUGGGGUUGUUGUGGGGUGGCUGUAGUUAUGGGGUGGCCGUAGUUGUGGGGUGGCUGUAGAUGUGGGGCUGUAGUUGUGGGGCUGUAGUUGUGGGGCUGGCUGUAGUUGUGGGGUGACUGUAGUUGUGGGGUUGUUAUGGGGUGGCUGUAGUUAUGGGGCUGUAGUUGUGGGGCUGUAGUUGUGGGUUGGCUGUAGUUGUGGGGCUGUAGUUAUGGGGCUGGCUGUAGUUGUGGGGUUGUUGUGGGGCUGUAGUUAUGGGGUGACUGUAGUUGGGGGCUGUAGUUGUGGGGCUGUAGUUGUGGGGCUGUAGUUGUGGGGCUGGCUGUAGUUGUGGGGUGGCUGUAGUUAUGGGGCUGUAGUUGUGGGGCUGUAGUUGUGGGGCUGUAGUUGUGGGGCUGGCCGUAGUUGUGGGGUGGCUGUAGUUAUGGGGCUGUAGUUGUGGGGUGGCUGUAGUUGUGGGGCUGUAGUUGUGGGGCUGUAGUUGUGGGGUGGCUGUAGUUGUGGGGCUGUAGUUGUGGGGCUGUAGUUAUGGGGCUGUAGUUAUGGGGCUGUAGUUAUGGGGUGGCUGUAGUUAUGGGGCUGUAGUUAUGGGGUGGCCGUAGUUGUGGGGUGAGCGUUACCUGAGGAGCCGGCGGCGGAGGAAGGCGGAGUUACGCUGCGGGGCGACAACGCGGUGCCACGGGGUUAUUAUGGGAUGGCGCAGCGGGGUGAGGAAUUAUGGGAUGGCGCGGGGUGGUGGGGGAUUAUGGGAUGGCACCAGAGGAUUAUGGGAUGGCAAGGGAGGAUUAUGGGAUGGCAGGGGGUGGUGGGGGAUUAUGGGAUGGCGUGGGAUGAUGGGGGAUUAUGGGAUGGCACCAGAGGAUUAUGGGAUGGCACCAGAGGAUUAUGGGAUGGCACCAGAGGAUUAUGGGAUGGCAGGGGAUGAUGAGGAAUUAUGGGAUGGCAUGUGAUGGGGGAUUAUUAUGGGAUGGCACAGUGGGCAUCAUGGCAUGGCGCGGGAGGAUUAUGGGAUGGUGCAGGAUCAUUAUGGGAUGGCGCAGGAUGAUGAGGGAGGAC
rnacentral:lncRNA from 1 species